UUGCAGAUCAUUCCAGUGUUACAGCUGCUUUUUGGUGUGUGUGGAAAUAGGUUGUCGUAAAGCAGGCUAAUCAUCUCUGGAGUAUGUGCUUGUGGAACAUCUCAGUACAACUCCAGGAUUUUAUCUUGGAUUUUGAGGAGAGACGGGAGGGGACUGGACCGUGGCACUGUAAGUCCAGCCUCCUGUGAUGGGCUAGCAGCCAGGAUUGCCUUACGAGACAGACCAAUUACCAGAUGCCGGUUCUGAUGAGGUUAGUGACAUUCGUGAAUGGGUCAGGCAGAGGGUCACUGAAAUAGAGGAGAAAAGGCGUCUCGAUCUGGCCCUGUUUAAUGAUGGUGGUGAUCACUUCUUUGAGGGUGUGGGGGAGUCACCCAGUGAAAUGUUCAUGCCUUGGAGCCAGAGCAAAAAAGUGCCUGGUAAAGUACGCGUCUCCUCUAAGGGCGCCGCUACACAUAGCAUGGGAGGUCACGAUUGCCACCCAGCACCAUCGCUCUGGUGUCUGCGGACCUACCAAUGAUCUACCACCCCUCAAGUUAUCGAUCGAGUCUGCAACAGCAGCAAAAGCAACAGCAUUGGGAACCAUAGCCACAGCCUGGCUGUUCUCAUU